AUUGAACGCUGGCGGCAGGCCUAACACAUGCAAGUCGAGCGGAUGAAGGGAGCUUGCUCCUGGAUUCAGCGGCGGACGGGUGAGUAAUGCCUAGGAAUCUGCCUGGUAGUGGGGGAUAACGUCCGGAAACGGGCGCUAAUACCGCAUGCGUCCUGAGGGAGAAAGUGGGGGAUCUUCGGACCUCACGCUAUCAGAUGAGCCUAGGUCGGAUUAGCUAGUUGGUGGGGUAAAGGCCUACCAAGGCGUCGAUCCGUAACUGGUCUGAGAGGAUGAUCAGUCACACUGGAACUGAGACACGGUCCAGACUCCUACGGGAGGCAGCAGUGGGGAAUAUUGGACAAUGGGCGAAAGCCUGAUCCAGCCAUGCCGCGUGUGUGAAGAAGGUCUUCGGAUUGUAAAGCACUUUAAGUUGGGAGGAAGGGCAGUAAGUUAAUACCUUGCUGUUUUGACGUUACCAACAGAAUAAGCACCGGCUAACUUCGUG
rnacentral:rRNA from 1 species